rnacentral:rRNA from 3 species
GGGCGCACGGUGGAUGCCUUGACACUAGGAGUCGAUGAAGGACGGGACUAACGCCGAUAUGCUUCGGGGAGCUGUAAGUAAGCUUUGAUCCGAAGAUUUCCGAAUGGGGAAACCCACCAUACGUAAUGGUAUGGUAUCCUUAUCUGAAUACAUAGGGUAAGGAAGACAGACCCAGGGAACUGAAACAUCUAAGUACCUGGAGGAAGAGAAAGCAAAUGCGAUUUCCUGAGUAGCGGCGAGCGAAACGGAACAUAGCCCAAACCAAGAGGCUUGCCUCUUGGGGUUGUAGGACAUUCUAUACGGAGUUACAAAGGAACGAGGUAGACGAAGCGACCUGGAAAGGUCCGUCGUAGAGGGUAACAACCCCGUAGUCGAAACUUCGUUCUCUCUUGAAUGUAUCCUGAGUACGGCGGAACACGUGAAAUUCCGUCGGAAUCUGGGAGGACCAUCUCCCAAGGCUAAAUACUCCCUAGUGAUCGAUAGUGAACCAGUACCGUGAGGGAAAGGUGAAAAGCACCCCGGAAGGGGAGUGAAAGAGAUCCUGAAACCGUGUGCCUACAAAUAGUCAGAGCCCGUUAACGGGUGAUGGCGUGCCUUUUGUAGAAUGAACCGGCGAGUUACGAUCCCGUGCGAGGUUAAGCUGAAGAGGCGGAGCCGCAGCGAAAGCGAGUCUGAAUAGGGCGUUUAGUACGUGGUCGUAGACCCGAAACCAGGUGAUCUACCCAUGUCCAGGGUGAAGUUCAGGUAACACUGAAUGGAGGCCCGAACCCACGCACGUUGAAAAGUGCGGGGAUGAGGUGUGGGUAGCGGAGAAAUUCCAAUCGAACCUGGAGAUAGCUGGUUCUCCCCGAAAUAGCUUUAGGGCUAGCCUUAAGUGUAAGAGUCUUGGAGGUAGAGCACUGAUUGGACUAGGGGUCCUCAUCGGAUUACCGAAUUCAGUCAAACUCCGAAUGCCAAUGACUUAUCCUUAGGAGUCAGACUGCGAGUGAUAAGAUCCGUAGUCAAAAGGGAAACAGCCCAGACCGCCAGCUAAGGUCCCAAAGUGUGUAUUAAGUGGAAAAGGAUGUGGAGUUGCUUAGACAACUAGGAUGUUGGCUUAGAAGCAGCCACCAUUUAAAGAGUGCGUAAUAGCUCACUAGUCGAGUGACUCUGCGCCGAAAAUGUACCGGGGCUAAAUACACCACCGAAGCUGCGGAUUGAUACCGAAUGGUAUCAGUGGUAGGGGAGCGUUCUAAGGACAGUGAAGUCAGACCGGAAGGACUGGUGGAGUGCUUAGAAGUGAGAAUGCCGGUAUGAGUAGCGAAAGACGGGUGAGAAUCCCGUCCACCGAAUGCCUAAGGUUUCCUGAGGAAGGCUCGUCCGCUCAGGGUUAGUCAGGACCUAAGCCGAGGCCGACAGGCGUAGGCGAUGGACAACAGGUUGAUAUUCCUGUACCACCUCUUUAUCGUUUGAGCAAUGGAGGGACGCAGAAGGAUAGAAGAAGCGUGCGAUUGGUUGUGCACGUCCAAGCAGUUAGGCUGAUAAGUAGGCAAAUCCGCUUAUCGUGAAGGCUGAGCUGUGAUGGGGAAGCUCCUUAUGGAGCGAAGUCUUUGAUUCCCCGCUGCCAAGAAAAGCUUCUAGCGAGAUAAAAGGUGCCUGUACCGCAAACCGACACAGGUAGGCGAGGAGAGAAUCCUAAGGUGUGCGAGAGAACUCUGGUUAAGGAACUCGGCAAAAUGACCCCGUAACUUCGGGAGAAGGGGUGCUUUCUUAACGGAAAGCCGCAGUGAAUAGGCCCAAGCGACUGUUUAGCAAAAACACAGCUCUCUGCGAAGCCGUAAGGCGAAGUAUAGGGGGUGACACCUGCCCGGUGCUGGAAGGUUAAGGAGAGGGGUUAGCGUAAGCGAAGCUCUGAACUGAAGCCCCAGUAAACGGCGGCCGUAACUAUAACGGUCCUAAGGUAGCGAAAUUCCUUGUCGGGUAAGUUCCGACCCGCACGAAAGGUGUAACGAUUUGGGCACUGUCUCAACCAGAGACUCGGUGAAAUUAUAGUACCUGUGAAGAUGCAGGUUACCCGCGACAGGACGGAAAGACCCCGUGGAGCUUUACUGUAGCCUGAUAUUGAAUUUUGGUACAGUUUGUACAGGAUAGGCGGGAGCCUUUGAAACCGGAGCGCUAGCUUCGGUGGAGGCGCUGGUGGGAUACCGCCCUGACUGUAUUGAAAUUCUAACCUACGGGUCUUAUCGACCCGGGAGACAGUGUCAGGUGGGCAGUUUGACUGGGGCGGUCGCCUCCUAAAGUGUAACGGAGGCGCCCAAAGGUUCCCUCAGAAUGGUUGGAAAUCAUUCGUAGAGUGCAAAGGCAUAAGGGAGCUUGACUGCGAGACCUACAAGUCGAGCAGGGACGAAAGUCGGGCUUAGUGAUCCGGUGGUUCCGCAUGGAAGGGCCAUCGCUCAACGGAUAAAAGCUACCCCGGGGAUAACAGGCUUAUCUCCCCCAAGAGUCCACAUCGACGGGGAGGUUUGGCACCUCGAUGUCGGCUCAUCGCAUCCUGGGGCUGUAGUCGGUCCCAAGGGUUGGGCUGUUCGCCCAUUAAAGCGGUACGCGAGCUGGGUUCAGAACGUCGUGAGACAGUUCGGUCCCUAUCCGUCGUGGGCGUAGGAAAUUUGAGAGGAGCUGUCCUUAGUACGAGAGGACCGGGAUGGACGCACCGCUGGUGUACCAGUUGUUCUGCCAAGGGCAUAGCUGGGUAGCUAUGUGCGGAAGGGAUAAGUGCUGAAAGCAUCUAAGCAUGAAGCCCCCCUCAAGAUGAGAUUUCCCAUAGCGUAAGCUAGUAAGAUCCCUGAAAGAUGAUCAGGUUGAUAGGUUCGAGGUGGAAGCAUGGUGACAUGUGGAGCUGACGAAUACUAAUAGAUCGAGGACUUAACCAU